GCCACAUCUCUUUCCCAGCAGCCACUUUCCCUCCUGUUCAUGCUCCUCCCUUCCAGAAACUCCCCCACCCUUCUUCCCUGCGCCCUCUCCCUCUCUAGCACCUUCCCCAAUCCAGUGAUAACCAAGGGAAGGAGAGGAAUGGAUUGAGGACGAGGAGAGGAUCGAUUAGGGCUGCAACAUGGUGUAGAUCGACUUUUCCCCAUUUGUUUCUUGCUGCCCUAGCUUGGGGAUAACCAAGAAACUAAAUGGAUCGACCGGCUGCGUGUGGCAGAGGAGAUGGGUGUUACUACUGUGAAACAAGUGGAUCAGGGCAUUCAGUUUUGAGGACUAUAAAAGCCACAAAACUAUUUUCAACUAAAGGUCUGCAAUCAGCAAACAAGAUCUCAGGGGGUUGAUAGUUCUUCUCAGAGACCUUCUCAAGGUGCUGCAAGAUCAUCUUAGAUACGCUAGGCAAUGUUAUAUUGUUGGCAAGAAAGGUGCUGGGAGUAAACUUGAAUGCUUUUGGACUAGAUGCUAUCUUAUAGUGUACUAAAUACUAUAUUUGAAUGCUUUUGGAGUACAAUCUGGUAGUUUUAGUUUGUGAACUUGAACCUGAUGGUCAUAAUGUUGGAUCACUUUUAGAUGACUUACCUAGAUUAUGUAUUCAGCUACUAUAUGUAUGCUUGUAUGUUGCUUU